GCGGGCGGCGGGCGGCGGGCGGAAGGCAUCACUUUGUCCGGACUCUAAUUCAAAUUGUAUUCAUCCGAUCUUCACCAAACUUGGUCAGCAGUUGCAUCUAGUUGAUAUCUAGGCCAAGUUCGAAUAUGGGUCAUGCCGGGUCAAAAACUAGGUCAUAGGGUCAAUAAGUGCAUUUUCAAAGGGGCCACUUUGUCCGGACUCUAUUUCAAAUUGUAUUCAUCCGAUCUUCACCAAACUUGGUCAGCAGUUGCAUCUAGUUGAUAUAUAGGCCAAGUUCGAAUAUGGGUCAUGCCGGGUCAAAAACUAGGUCAUAGGGUCAAUUAGUGCAUUUUCAACGGCGCCACUUUGUCCGGACUCUAAUUCAAAUUGUAUUCAUCCGAUCUUCACCAAACUUGGUCAGAAGUUGUAUCUAGACAAUAUCUAGGUCAAGUUCGAAUAUGGGUCAUGCUGGGUCAAAAACUAGGUCACAGGGUCACUUAGUGCAUUUCAAGCAUUUAGCAUGGUGUCCACUCUCUAAUUGAAGUAGUUUUCAUCCAAUCUUCACCAAACUUGGUCAGAAGUUGUAUCUAGACAGUAUUUAGGUCAAGUUGGAAUAUGGGUCAUUCCAGGUCAAAAACUAGGUCACAGGGUCACUUAAACCAUUUCAAGCAUUUAGCAAGUGCUCUCUAAUUGAAGUAGUUUUCAUCCGAUCUUCACCAACUUUGGUCAGAAGUUGUGUCUAGACAAUAUCUACAUGUAGGUCAAGUUCAAAUAUGGGUCUUGCCAGGUUAAAAACUAGGUCAGCCCGUAUAAAUACGGGACGUAUUAUGUGAAACCCCUUGGCGGCGGGCGGGCGGCGGGCGGCGGGCGGAAGGCAUCACUUUGUCCGGACUCUAAUUCAAAUUGUAUUCAUCCGAUCUUCACCAAACUUGGUCAGCAGUUGCAUCUAGUUGAUAUCUAGGCCAAGUUCGAAUAUGGGUCAUGCCGGGUCAAAAACUAGGUCAUAGGGUCAAUAAGUGCAUUUUCAAAGGGGCCACUUUGUCCGGACUCUAUUUCAAAUUGUAUUCAUCCGAUCUUCACCAAACUUGGUCAGCAGUUGCAUCUAGUUGAUAUAUAGGCCAAGUUCGAAUAUGGGUCAUGCCGGGUCAAAAACUAGGUCAUAGGGUCAAUUAGUGCAUUUUCAACGGCGCCACUUUGUCCGGACUCUAAUUCAAAUUGUUAUCAUCCGAUCUUCACCAAACUUGGUCAGAAGUUGUAUCUAGACAAUAUCUAGGUCAAGUUCGAAUAUGGGUCAUGCUGGGUCAAAAACUAGGUCACAGGGUCACUUAGUGCAUUUCAAGCAUUUAGCAUGGUGUCCACUCUCUAAUUGAAGUAGUUUUCAUCCAAUCUUCACCAAACUUGGUCAGAAGUUGUAUCUAGACAGUAUUUAGGUCAAGUUGGAAUAUGGGUCAUUCCAGGUCAAAAACUAGGUCACAGGGUCACUUAAACCAUUUCAAGCAUUUAGCAAGUGCUCUCUAAUUGAAGUAGUUUUCAUCCGAUCUUCACCAACUUUGGUCAGAAGUUGUGUCUAGACAAUAUCUACAUGUAGGUCAAGUUCAAAUAUGGGUCUUGCCAGGUUAAAAACUAGGUCACGAGGUCCCGUAGUGCAUUUCAAGCAUUUAGCAUGGUGUCUGCUCUCUAAUUGAAGUAGUUUUCAUCAGAUCUUCACCAACUUUGGUCAGAAGUUGUGUCUAGAUGAUAUGUAGGUCAAGUUCAAAUAUGGGUCAUGGUAAAGUUAUCAAGUUGUCCAAAGUCUUAAAACGGGCGUAUCUUGUGACAGUUUGGCACUCUUGUUCAUAUUAGCUUAGAGCUUUAUCUCCAUUAACACAUGAGCCAGAGCCAUGAACCUUGCCAUAGUUGUUCUCAAUCAUCUGGAGGUGCUUCACAUUCAACACCCAUAAUCCUAGGGACAAAUGUCAAGGUCACACAUUUAGGUCAAAAGUAGUUGUCAAUCUGUCCAAAAAACUUUUGUGUCCAGAAGCAUAUUGGCAGGGGAUAUCAAUUUAACGAAUUUGCUUGUUAAUUCCUGGCUCUCUGACAAAUAUUUGUUUCAGGGGCCUUGUUUAGACAAAACAAAAAAAAAGUUUAAGCAGGAUGGGUAAAUAUGUGUGCAUCUCUACUCAUUAUUUACUUGAAAUGUUUGAAACAAUUCUUUUUGUGCUUUUUCAGUUUUCUGUCUGUUUAUAUUAUUGUUAACCCUGUCUCAAAAUGUGACCAAGUUAUUUGUGAAUUUGUUUUAACAAACAUGUAUAUAAAUUUUAUUAUUAAUUUUUUUUUUGGCAGUGUUGUAAUAUUAUUUGUGUGUAUUUUGUGGCUUAAAACAGAUUAUAACAAUGGAGUAUUCCUAGAUUGUAAAUGCAAAUAAAUUCCUCAUGUUCAUUUGAAGAAUCUUCCACAGCUGUUCAGAAAGUUUGUUCUGGGGCUCUGAUAAACUUGUUUAAAAUAAAUGAAUUUAGAGCUAAUCAAUUAUUCAUGUACCUUUCUUGUACAGAAUACUAUGCCUUUAAUUAGAACACAGUCUUAUAAAACAGUAUUAAACCUUUGAGCGCUGGAACCGGAUUUUGAAGGCCUUUGCAAACAGUUUGGAUCCAGAUGAGAAGCCACAGAACGUGGCGUCUCAUCAGGAUCCAAACUGUUUGCUAUUCUGAUAGUAUUCUUUGAAAAAAAAUCGAAGAAAAUGCUUAUUUUAGAAAUUCAGCAGACGACAUUUUUGCAGACGACAAAUUUCCCAGCAUGCAAAGGGUUAACUACUCUCCACAAGUAGUUUGUCUGGUACAGAGCACUUGGACUUUUUUCCUUGUAUGUUCUUGCUUGCCCGUUUGCAAAAACCUUGAUAAAGCUGUCAUAAUAUUAAAGUAUAAGCCUUACUUUGUCUUUGAUCAUGGAAUGUUAAAAUUACUUACCAUAACUGAAAAUUGUGAGGAGACAGUGUUUUAUGUGUAACCUGUAUUAGCCUGCCUAUAAGAGAAGGUCACACUUCAGAGUUCAAAUGUCAACUCAGGUAAUAAACGCUUGUCUGGGUUGUAAAUUUAUCAUUCAUCCGGAAAUUUGAAAAUUACUUAUCUUAGAAGACAACGUGUCAAAUGUAAAAUCCAUCUUCAAGUUCAAAGUCAGGGUGAAAAGGUCAAAUGUUAAAUUUUUCCCAUAAAACAGUUUGAGGGGACCGUUACAUAAUCAUUCAUCAUUCAAUUUUAAAAUAAAUUAUCACAAAUGUGCACUAUGUUGAGAAAGCUUGUCCUUUAAAACAACCUUUGCCUUACCUCAAAGUUCAAGGUCACACAUUAAGGUCAAAGGUUAGAUUUUGCCUUAAAGUAUAGUAAGACAUGUGGCUGUGAAAGAACUUUCUAAACAGCCUUCAAAUGUGUUUUGGUAUUAAAAUUACAAACUUUAUUGAUAACUCUUAUAUGUAUUUUGGUUUUAAAAUAAUGAACUUUCUUGACAGCUCUUAUGUAUUUUGGUAUUAAAAUAGCAAAUUUUUGUCUGUAUUUAGUUUUAAAGUAGCAAACUAUCUGGCAGCCCUCCUAUGUAUUUUGCUAUUGAAGCAUUUAAUUUUCUGGACAUCCUUUACAUGUUUUAGUAUUAAAAUCACAAACAUUUCUGGUCAUAUGUAAUUUGGUAUUAAGAUUUUCUUUACUCUCUGAACAACCCUCAUUCGUACUUUAGUAUUGAAAUGGCAAACUUUGGACAAUCUCCCAUAUGUUUUUUUAAUUAAGUCAAAAGUCACUUUAAAACAGUCACUUAGGUUGUAUUGUUUGUUUGUGAUAUUAUUGAACAAAUGAAUGCAAUGUCGAGAUCACCUGUAUAUAUUUGGCCUAUCCUAGUAGAAUGUGAACACCCUAUAGGAAACAUCUCUUGCCAAAUCAUCAAGAAACUUGCUUGUUAAUGGUUCUAAUGAUAUUUUGUCAGAAUUCUAAAAUGGUUCUAUAAACAAACUAUAAACAACCAAUCAAAACAAUUCUUUCCUGGAGGUCACAGGUGAGUGGCCUUGUUUUCUUUUCGAAGAACAAAUGCUGCAUGUUAGUAAUUGUUUAAGGUGUUAGUUUUAGCUUUUUUAUCAUAUUUUUGUUAAUUUGUACAUUUUUUGUAGUUUUUUUUGUUUGAUGUUAUGCCAUGAGAUUGAGAUUCAAAAUAUAAUAUACAGUAUGAAGAAAUGGGAUUGUGUGUCAGUUUUCAUAACAUACAUUGGAACAUUAUAUGCAUGAAGAGUCUUCCACAAUUUUGUGUAUGAUAUGCUGUUUAUAUCAACGACUCAAUGUGAUAUUUAUGGUAGUUUUUUAACUAAAAAUCUUUUUUUCUUUUCUUUUUUUUCCAAAUAAAUAUCAAGUGGCUUUAAAUAGCAGAAUUGUUUCCUUCUACGUGAUUUAUGGGUAAAUGUGUCAGGUGCACAUCUAGAAAUAUCACUGAAAAAUAUGAAAUUUGUAAUUAAAAUAUUGACAAGAAAAGCAGAAAUGUAACUAUCAAGUGGUUACAAAAGCUCCAAAAUCACUUCAUAACAUAUUGACCCAUCAAUUUCUACUGCCAAAAUUCUUCCAAAAUUAUAUAUAUUGCAUACAUGCCAUACGUCCCGAUCUCGGCGGGACAGUCCCGCUUUUGGGCCCUUUGUCCCGCCGUCCCGCCAUGAGACGAUUUGUCCCGACAUUCGUAAAAAACGAUGUAAGGUGUAUAGGUUCCCAAUAAAAUUCGCUAUUCAAGCUCUGUUUCGCUAACACUUAACACCGCUAAUCCCUUUAUUGCCCUCCAAUUAACAAUCCGAUUCUACUUAUCGUGUGUACCAGUGUUGUUUAUGACACCUUAUCAGCGAUUUAUCGGCUAAUUAUUGAUUUCAUCAGGCAUUCACACCAUGGUGGUCUUCAAGAUAGUGGUCGCUUAUUGCUAUCGAUAGUUUUAUUAUAAUGAAAUAAAUGUUGAAAAUGUGUUUAUUUUGUAUUUGUUUGAAGCGGUUUACAAAACAAUUGUUUUGUAAAAUUAACGCUACGUCAUAAUAGAGUCUUUUACAUUCAAUGUUUAGUUCCAAUAUAGCGGGAUAUUCCGAAUGUGCAAUAUACCAAAAUCGCAACAAACAGUCCAAUAAGUGAUACCCAUCCUGUCUAGUGUAAUUGUAAUAAAAACAACGAGGUGCUAUGCAUGACAGUUUGACCCUACUCCAAUUAAGCCGCGGAAAUUGACAAGUAACAAACUGCGCAUGGACACAUGCUUAAAAAAACAUCGCAACAAACAGUAAAAGAGUUACCCAUCUUGUCUUGUGUUAUUGUAAUAAAAACAACGUGUUGUUAUUCAUGACAGUUUGACACUACCCCAAUACAGCGCCUGACAAUUCACAAUUCAGUUUAAUCUGUGUAUAUAGGAAGAAAACAAAAUACGGAAAAGUGUACGGCCGCGCAUUCCGUGUGUAACUGAUGUAACUGUUCGGUAGAUAGUGUACUGUAACCCGUACUUUCAGUCAACUGGAUAGCCUCCCCUGCGUUAAUGUUUGCCAUUGAAAUUAAUAUAAUGAGUAUUGUUGUCGUAAUGUUCUAGAUUUUGUACUCUUAAACAGAUGAAUAUUAUCUUCGUUGUUUGCUAUUGUCUAAUUUAAUAAAACUGUUAUUGUUAUGUUUAAGAUUUCAUGCUUCAUAUCAGAUGUUUUAUGUCUUGAAAUAAAGUAUCAAGAGUUUUUGUUAGUACUAUACUGACUAUAGUAAACGUGGAAUGAUAGAUCGUUUUAGGUGUCCUGCUUUUUGGUCAAAUGUCCCGACAAUUUUUUAUGGAAUGUCCCGCUUUGGACCUAAAAAAUUAUGGCAUGUAUGAUAUUGUGUAAUGAGAUUUUGCUUUUAUCUUAUAUCUAGCUGUGUACUCAUGAUUAGCUUAUAUAAACAAUGAAGUUAGUUUGUUUAUUUAGAUUUGUCUUCAAAUUUAAUAUUAUUUCAGUCAUACCACAGCAGUCAGUUGAACAAAGUGAACUUCUCUUGCUUUGAUUGUUCUAAAUGCACUUACAUGCAAGUUACCUAAAAUUAGUUUUUAUAUAAACAUUUUGUCUGGUAUGUAAUUUUUCAACAGCUUACAUUGUUUCAAUCAAAGGUGUUUGGUGCGUGGCCAAGUCACUUUUAUCACUAUCAAUAUGUCCUAAAACAACAUUUUUCAUAGCUCAUGGUAAGCUUUUGUGAUCGCCUUUUGUCCGCCGUGCACCAUGCGUCGUCAACAUUUGCCUUGUUAACACUCUAGAGGCCACAUUUAUUGUCCGAUCUUCACAAAAUUUGGUCAGAAGAUUCGUCUCAAUGAUAUCUUGGACAAGUUCCAAAAUGGAUAUGGUUGCUUAAAAAACAUGGCUGCCAGGGGGCGGAGCAAUUUUCCUAAUAUUGCUCUAUUUGGCUAUAGUAAAACCUUGUUAACACUCUAGAGGCCACAUUUAAACAUGACCGCUAGGAGGCGGGGCAUUUUUCCUUAUUUGGCUAUUGUAAAAUGUUGUUAACAGUCUAGAGGCCACAUUUAUUUUCUGAUUAUCAUGAAACUUGGUCAGAAUAUUAAUCCCAAUGAUAUCUUGGAUGAGUUACAAAAUGUUUCUGGUUGGUUGAAAAACAUGGCCACCAGGGGGCGGGGAAUUUUUUCUUAUAUGGCUAUAGUAAAACCUUGUUAACUCUCUUGAGGCCACAUUUAAUUUUCGAUCAUCAUGAAACUUGGUCUGAAGAUUUGUCCCAAUGAUAUAUUGAACAGGUUUGAAAAUGGUUCCAGUUGGUUGAAAAACAUAGCCACCAGGGGGGCGGGGCAUUUUUCCUUAUAUGGCUAUAGUAAAAGCUUGUUAACACUCUAGAGGCCACAUUCAUUGUCCGAUCCUCAUGAAACUUGGUCAGAAGAUUAAUCCCAAUACCGGUAAUAUCUUUGACGGAUUUGAAAAUGGUUCCUGUUGGUUGAAAAAUAUGACUGGCAGGGGAUGAUGCUUGUCCUUAUAUGGAUAUAGUAAAACCUUGUUAACACCCUAGAGGCCAUAUUUAAGGUCUGAUCUUCAUGAAACUUGGUCAGAACAUACAUCUCAAUUAAAUCUUAGAUUAGUUUGAAAAUGGUUCUUGUUUGUUGAAAAACAUGGCAACCAGGGGGUGGGGCAGUUUUCCUUAAAUGGCUAUAUAUGGCUAUUGUAAAACCUUACACUCUAGAGGUCACAUUUAUUGUCCCAUUUUCAUGAAGCUUAGUCAGAAGAUUUAAGAUUUGUCCCAAUGAUAUCUUGGAAUAGUUUGAAAAAUGGUUUUGGUUAGUUUAAAAACAUUUUUCCUUAUAUUGCGAUAGUAAAAAGUUGUUAACAUCUUAAAAGUCAUACUUGUUGUUCAAUCUUCAUGAAACUUGGUCAAAACAUGUGUCCAGUCCUAAUGAUAUCUUGGAUGAGUUUGCAAAUGGUUCUUAUAGUUUGAAAACAUAGCCAUCAUGGGUCGGGAGAAUUUUUCCUUAAAUGGCUAUUGUAAAAACUUGUUAACACUCUAAAAGUCGCAUUUAUUGUCCAAUAUUGUUUACACUUGGCCAUAACAUUUGUUUUAAAUGAUAUCUUGGAUCAGUUUGAAAACAGUUAUGUCUGUUGAAAAACAUUGCCCCAGAGGUUGGGGAAUUAAGCCUAAUAUGGCUAUAAUAGAACCUUGUUAGCACUCUACAAUUGAUAUUUAUAGUUCACUCUUCAUGAAACUUGGUCAGAAAAUUUGUUCUAAUGAUAUCUUGGGGCUGCACUUAGCAGGUCAGUUCCUUUGUAUCUCAGGUCAGCGACUUUGGGCCUUUCAGGCCCUCUUGUUAAAUAAAUAAUUGUUAAUGUGUUAACUAGUUUGUUUAUUAAAAUAUGAAUUCAAUUGCAAGAAACGACUGACAUUCUAUAGUAAACAAACUUUUUUUUAAGGUUGUAUAUUUAUUGUUCAUAAAUGACCAUUUUCUGUUAUUUUAACUUGAUGAUAUGAAGUUUUUCCAUGUGAAACCAAAAUACACCCAUAAUGUAUUUGUUUCUGACACUAGGUUUAUCUUUGUGUGUAUUGUUUUUAAUUUGCUUAAAAAAACAAUUCUUACAUUUUAAAAUUGUUAUGGAUACAAUGUAUAAUUGUGUCACCAGUAAUUCUUAUUACUUGAAAACAGUUUGCAUUUACUUGCACAUCGCACACAAGUGUGCAUUCACAGAGGAGCUAUUGAAUGUUCAUUUAAAUAUGCCAUAUUACAUCACAUUUCUGCAGUUUUAAACUUUGAUCUUUGUUUACACUGCAUUCAUGUUUAGAGGUUUAUUUUCAUAAAAAGAAAGUGUUCAAAAAUAAA